UCAUUUUUAACUUAAAAAACAUAUGCAAUAUAAAG
rnacentral:sRNA from 1 species